UGACUACCUGUGGUGAUGUUUCUCCUAUCUGUAGGGUUGUUUUCAUGCAGUGAUGGUUGAAAUGACUAUUGAUUUAUUGUCACCAAGCCCAUCUGAACAUUACUAUUUGUCUGUAUUCCAAGAGUUGACAGAGAACCAAGUCAACAUUCAACAAGAGUUCUUGUCACUUUACCAACAGAAGUAAGGAAAUAUUCCUCAAGUUAUCAAGAUGUCUGUCUUGUGAUCAGCAGAAUUCAAAAAGAACUUGAAGCAAAUAAUCAACCAAGUAUUGAUUUGCAUGGUGUUAAAUCAACAGUAUGCCCACAGCAUACAAGUCUAAGCUAGUCAGGCACAGCUCCAAGGACCCGUACUUGAACUGUAACAUUCUUCCUGAAGAUGAGCCCCUUGGUUUAAGUGAGGAUGAAACAGCAGAUUCCAGUGAGGAUGAGUAUCUUUCAUCAGAUACCAAUGAUUCAAGCAUCUGAGGCUCGUCCAAAUCUGCUCAGUUCAAUAAUUGCAAUCUAUUUGACAUUUUACUCCAACAACAUAGUGACACAUGGUUAUAAUGGAAUAUAAUUACCUGGCAUGGUAAAGUUUCCUUUAUCAAUUUGCAAUCAUGUGUCUGCAUUAAAAAUGUUUUAGUUUUUA